GGCAAAGGGAACAGAUUGCACAAAGGACCGGACGUGGGGCAUGUUGUAGAACCUGAAAGCUGCAGAAGGGUUGAGGGUGGAACAAACAGGAAUGAAGGCUGAGAAGCUGGUCACGCUGCAUCCCUGCAGCUGGCGGUUGCGUAAUGAACGUCAGACCCCAGCGUAACUCACGUGCGUGGUUCCGCCCACGGCCCCAUCUUUUGUGAGUUUGCGAGCGUCCCUAACUAGUAAGGAAUUCCUACGAGACAGAAUGAAACUCUACUUUUAAUUUUUAACACGAGAGGAGAGAGGCACAGGAAAUUAUUUGCUUUGAUUCGCAAUCUGGUGUGGGAGUCGUUUAAGGAAUCCGCGAGAACGCCCUGGGGUCUGUGCAGAACCGCGUCUCCGAGCCCCCCGGGCUGCAGAGCCGGCGAAGACGCGUGACUCUCCCAAGUGUCAGAGUGAAGAGUCGCUUUGAACACACUACUUCCCGAAAAGAAUACCGGAAUUUGAUUUAUCUGUGGGCAUAAAAUCAUCGUGUUGGAGAGAGGACCUGGAAUUGGCAAAAUUACGAUUGCGUCAACGCGUGAGCCAGCAUCGGCUCCUGGUUCAGAUUCCUGUUAUGAUCACCAAAGUUUUGGAAGUGUUGUGGACUAAAGACAGAAGCAAAAGGAAAACGCGGCUCAGAGAUGUCUUGAAAUCAAACCAGGAAAGAGGGACUUGAUUAGGAGCAUGAAUGUGGCCUGGAGUUGGACUGAAUAGGUCUUGGCCACUCCCCCGGGCUCACCGUCGGUCUCUUGGCAGAACGGCUAGAACUUCCUCUACCUAUGGCCGUCCACUCACUCAGUGUUGACCUCCUGUCAGCUUAUACCAGCAUCCAGUGUGAGGUCUCUUUUGACCUAUAUGGGACUGAAGACCUGACGGCAGCAGACGGAUGAGGAGUUUAUUACACCCAGGAAGGAAAUGAUGGUGCCGUGGACGAGGGUGGUAGCCGCAGAGAAAAGCGCUGGCCAAGUGUGAGAUGUAUUUUGAAGAUUUCAGAUGUGAGAUAUAUCCUGGAAAGACUUCCUGAGAUACAAGGAAUGAAGGAUGAGGGAAAGAGAUGAAUCAAGAUUUUUUAAAAAAAUUCUAAAAUAAUGCCUACUCACUGUCAAAAAUCUGAAAAUAUAAUAAAAGCAUAAAAAUAAAAAAGUCUCUAAUCUCA
rnacentral:lncRNA from 1 species